AUUGAACGCUGGCGGCAUGCCUUACACAUGCAAGUCGAACGGUAACAGGUCUUCGGAUGCUGACGAGUGGCGAACGGGUGAGUAAUACAUCGGAACGUGCCCGAUCGUGGGGGAUAACGCAGCGAAAGCUGUGCUAAUACCGCAUACGAUCUACGGAUGAAAGCGGGGGAUCGCAAGACCUCGCGCGGACGGAGCGGCCGAUGGCAGAUUAGGUAGUUGGUGGGAUAAAAGCUUACCAAGCCGACGAUCUGUAGCUGGUCUGAGAGGACGACCAGCCACACUGGGACUGAGACACGGCCCAGACUCCUACGGGAGGCAGCAGUGGGGAAUUUUGGACAAUGGGCGCAAGCCUGAUCCAGCCAUGCCGCGUGCAGGAUGAAGGCCUUCGGGUUGUAAACUGCUUUUGUACGGAACGAAAAAGUUCUCUCUAAUACAGGGGGCGAAUGACGGUACCGUAAGAAUAAGCACCGGCUAACUACGUG
rnacentral:rRNA from 1 species